GAUGAACGCUGGCGGCGUGCCUAACACAUGCAAGUCGAACGGAGAAUUUGGAGCUUGCUUCAAAUUUUUAGUGGCGGACGGGUGAGUAACGCGUGGGUAACCUGCCCUUAAGAGGGGGAUAACAGUUGGAAACGACUGCUAAUACCGCAUAAAGUUAAGAGUUCACAUGGACUUUUAACCAAAGGAGCAAUCCGCUUUUGGAUGGACCCGCGUCUGAUUAGCUAGUUGGUGAGGUAACGGCUAACCAAGGCGACGAUCAGUAGCCGGCCUGAGAGGGUGAUCGGCCACACUGGGACUGAGACACGGCCCAGACUCCUACGUGAGGCAGCAGUGGGGAAUCUUCCGCAAUGGACGAAAGUCUGACGGAGCAACGCCGCGUGAGGGAUGAGGGCCUUCGGGUUGUAAACCUCUGUCUUCAGGGAGGAAAAAAAUGACGGUACCUGAGGAGGAAGCCCCGGCUAACUACGUGCCAGCCGCCGCGGUAA
rnacentral:rRNA from 1 species